rnacentral:ncRNA from 1 species
UGAACACUGAUGAUGGAGAACAGUAGUUGAGAAAUGUGUGAAAAGAGAGGAAAUGCCCUGGGCUGAAAGCAUUUCUGCAUGGCAGCUUGAUGAAUGAACACUCCGUAGGAUUCUCCCUGAAAAAGCGGACCGUUUUAGUAGGGGCUGAACGUUGACAGGCGUUAACUGUAAAAGUGGAAGUGCAUGAUGGUUAUGCCUUCAAUUAGGGUGGCACCACGGGAUCUAACUCCCGUCCCUUGU